rnacentral:rRNA from 1 species
CGCCUCUUGAAUUUCUAUAAGAGGUCCAGCCUGCCCAGUGACCCUGUUCAACGGCCGCGGUAUCCUAACCGUGCGAAGGUAGCGUAAUCACUUGUUCUCUAAAUGUGGACUGGUAUGAAUGGCAUCACGAAGGUUAUACUGUCUCCUUUUUCUAAUCAGUGAAACUAAUCUCCCCGUGAAGAAGCGGGGAUAGCACUAUAAGACGAGAAGACCCUAUGGAGCUUCAAACAAUGCAGCAUCUGCCCCACAACACUGAAAUUUCCGAAUUAAAACUCCUCUGGGCAGUGUGACUGCGAGUUUUUGGUUGGGGUGACCACGGAGCAUAACAUAACCUCCAUGUCUGAAAGAAUUUUUCUAAGCUAAGAACCACAAAUCCAAGCAUCAAUAAAUUGACAUCCAUUGACCCAAUACACUUGAACAACGAACCAAGUUACCCUAGGGAUAACAGCGCAAUCCACUUCAAAAGCUCCUAUCGACAAGUGGGUUUACGACCUCGAUGUUGGAUCAGGGUCUCCCAGUGGUGCAGCCGCUACUAAAGGUUCGUUUGUUCAACGAUUAAAACCCUA